GUUUCAGCUGUGUAAGAGUGUUAUAGUGCUUCUAACAUGAUUAGUAUGGGCAGACUGCCUGGGAAGGCUGGAGGAUCUGUGUGUGAGAGACACGCUUUCUGAUGCAAGUGGUUUCCAUGGAAACUUGCCUGCAACACGGCGCAGCGCACCCCAGGGAUUGGCAACACGUGAUCGCAGCCGGCCCUACUGGCGGACAGCAGAGCUGGUGAGCGGGCGGUCUCUAUGGUUUCCAUGGCGACCAGCCAGCGACACGGCGCGCAGUGACGUCAUUGGUGGCCGAUGCGGAAGCGGUGCCGGACCCGUGGACAGGCGUGUGGCGCAGUUGAGCAGAUUUCCAACACAGAGCGGGCCCAGUGCCAGCCAGACGUGUGAAGAUGUAUGUACCACGGAGGCAGCGGGACACUGACGUGUAAGACAGCAGCGUUCCCAAAGUCAUUUUGCAGAGAUUAUAGGUACGGAAAGGACAUCUCUGAAUGGCUGAAGCUGAUGGAUUAACCUAAGGGAGGAUUGUCUGACCCCAGGAGAACCAGAUUUCGAGGGCUCUUCUGCACCCCCUGGAAGUGAACCAGUCUCCCACGUGCCACCAGAUGCCUUCAAUGGAGGACAUUAACCUGGCGCCACCCCCUGCUGUAAAAUGCUGCGAAUCACAACUCUGGAGUGUAGUUACGAUGACGCAACUACAGCACCGCAACCCCAAAUCUCAGACAUUAUUGACAUAUGCCCAUUUCAUUAAAUUCUAUAAUCCCUGCCUGUGAGUAAGAGUUCAGGUAAUAAAUGCUGAGUGCUCCGUAAUAGAUUUUAUUAUUAUGUUUCAGCAAGUCAUGAAUUAUCCAGAUGUUCAAAAUUAAAUA